rnacentral:ncRNA from 1 species
AAGGUAUGGAUCGCUGUUAUCGACAGCACCUUCCCAGGUAGCCAGAGCCUUCAAGGCUACGUUCACUUCGGUGAUGGUUCUCCCCAAGUGCGAUUAGCGUUCGGUGGCUCGCACGGUGACCGUUUCUACGGUGAUGAACGC